GCUUGUUUAGUUUAGUGGUAAAAUACGGUCUUCCCACGCCAAGAGUCUGGCCGUGUCGCUGGUUCGAUUCCUGCAACAAGCA
rnacentral:tRNA from 1 species